rnacentral:rRNA from 1 species
AUUGAACGCUGGCGGCAGGCCUAACACAUGCAAGUCGAACGAGUGGCGGACGGGUGAGUAAUGUCUGGGAAACUGCCCGAUGGAGGGGGAUAACUACUGGCAACGGUAGCUAAUACCGCAUACCAUCGGAUGUGCCCAGAUGGGAUUAGCUAGGAGGUGGGGUAACGGCUCACCUAGGCGACGAUCCCUAGCUGGUCUGAGAGGAUGACCAGCCACACGCGAACUGAGCUACGGGCCAGACUCCGACGGGAGGCAGCAGUGGGGAAUAUUGCACAAUGGGCGCAAGCCUGAGGCCGCCAGGCUGCGUGUAUGCAGAAGGCCUGUGGGUUGUAAAGUACUUUCAGCGAGGAGGCGUUACCCGCAGAAGAAGCACCGGCUAACUCCGUGCCAGCAGCCGCGGUAAUAC